CCUCCUGCAAAAAUCAAUGUAUAGGAGGUCUCGCCUGCCCAGUGACAAGUUAAACGGCCGCGGUAUUUUGACCGUGCGAAGGUAGCGCAAUCACUUGUCUUUUAAAUGAAGACCUGUAUGAAUGGUAGAACGAGGGCUUAACUGUCUCCCUUUUUAAGUCAAUGAAAUUGAUCUGCCCGUGCAGAAGCGGGCAUAACAAUACAAGACGAGAAGACCCUUUGGAGCUUAAGACUCCAGAUCAAUUAUGUCAAGAACUUAAAUCAAGUUAAACCAAAUAACACCUGAUCCUAAUCUUCAGUUGGGGCGACCGCGGGAGAAAAUAAAGCUCCCAUGAGGACUGGACCCACCUCCAGAACCAAGAAAGACAUCUCUAAGUCACAGAACCUCUGACCAAAAAGAUCCGGCCACCCGCCGACCAACGGACCAAGUUACCCUAGGGAUAACAGCGCAAUCCCCUUCUAGAGUCCAUAUCGACAAGGGGGUUUACGACCUCGAUGUUGGAUCAGGACAUCCUAAUGGUGCAGCCGCUAUUAAGGGUUCGUUUGUUCAACGAUUAAAGUC
rnacentral:rRNA from 1 species